AGCUCCAAUAGCGUAUAUUAAAGUUGUUGCAGUUAAAAAGCUCGUAGUCGGAUUUUGGCAUCACGCCGUACUGUCUGCCGAUUGGUAAGUACGGUUUGGCGGGUGCUCUCCUUCCGGAGGCUCGUUCCCUUCUUCAUUGAAGGGUUCGAUGGUUCCGGGUCUUUUACUUUGAAAAAAUUAGAGUGUUCAAAGCAGGCCUAUGCUCUGAAUAGGUUAGCAUGGAAUAAUAGAAUAGGACUUUGGUUCUAUUUUGUUGGUUUCUAGGACCGAAGUAAUGAUUAAGAGGGACAGUUGGGGGCAUUCGUAUUUCGUUGUCAGAGGUGAAAUUCUUGGAUUUACGAAAGACGAACAACUGCGAAAGCAUUUGCCAA
rnacentral:rRNA from 1 species